GCCCGGUUCGCUUAGCCGGAGCGCGUUAGACUUUUAAUCCAACGAUCAAGGGUUCAAGUCCCUUAACGGGCU
rnacentral:tRNA from 1 species